GUGCUCCCUUCAGCAGCACAUAUACUAAAAUUGGAACGAUACAGAGAAGAUUAGCAUGGUUCCUGCACAAGGAUGACACGCAAAUUCAUGAAGCGUUCCAUAUUUUU